CGAGUGCCUCCCAUAGCCAGCGCUUGACAAAUGGGCAAGAUUCAGUCCAAGCCUAUGGGCUCAGCCCUUUGUUUCCCAGAGCCUCAGCCUCCAUGCCUAUUCACCCACACACUACCAGCCCCUCCACCCAGGAACAGCAUCAGCAACCACGCAGAGAGGAGCCCAUUGCUGCUGAAGGUGAGAGGCUGUCCUCUGCCUGCUUUCAGGACUCCUGGUUCUCAGGCUGCUAGACCUGAACUGGAAUCUACAGCCACUGGCUCUCUGGCUUUCAGGUCUUCAAACUACAUCACCAGCUUUCCUGGGCCUGAACCUUGCCAAUGACAGAUUGUGGGACUUCUCAGCCUCCAUAAACAUCCAACAGCAACUGCCCAUUGGAAGCACAUUGGAAUGGCAAUCCAACAUCCAAAAUGGCUGGGAAAGUGAAGUACUUCAGUUAUUGGAAUAUACUAGUUAGCUGACAAUUUCCAUCUGCCAAUAUCACAAGUGAGAGGACUAUUUCUAAACACUUAACACUAAAUUAUACAGAACAAAAUUCCGUCUUCUUUGGACUAUUCAAAUGUCAUUUUGAAAUGGCUGCUGCAUGGCCAGCAGACUGAGGUGAGAGAAAUUUGUAGCUGUAGAGAAUCCUCAUUAAUGCAGUGAGGCCUUCCCUUUCUAGGCAAUUCCUGGAUCUAAGAGAGAUUAACUGAGACUGACACCUUUAAAGGUCUGAAAAGAUAUUUACUGUCUACUCUCUCGGAGCACUGCUCUCUAUGAGGCUUCAUCCAUAUAACAAAGCUACCUUUGCUAGAUCGGCGUCUUCCUUUCUCCCUCUCAUAAUCUGUCUUGCCACUAAACCUGAUUUACCAACAUAACCAGUUUUGGGCUACACUCUGAGCUCACAUUUUUUUCUAUAACCUCAGGAUGGAAUAUAAGAUUCUGUGCCUUAUUGUUGGCUUGGGUCUUUAUUCUGAAGGUUCCUUUGUGUGCAUGUUAAAUAAGUUUGUAUGCCUUUUCUCCUAUUAAAGCAAAAACAAAAACAAAAGUCAUUUGCAGUGAUUCAGGGUAAUCAUUAUAACCUAAUUUCUCAAUGCAGAGUUUCAGGUGAUGUUUUGAAAAGUUCUGCCUGGGCAACAUGGCGAGACCCCACAUCUACAAAAAAUUUAAAACUCAGCUGGGCAUGGUGGCAUGCACCUGUAGUCCCAGCUACUUGAGAGGCUGAGGUGGAAGGAUUGCUUGAACCCAGGAGUUCAAGACUGUAGUGAACUGUGAUAAUGCCACUGCACUCCAGCCUAGAUGACAGAGUGAGACCCUAUCUCAGAAAAAAAAAAAAGAAAGGAAAAGAAGAGCUCUAAGUGGCAAAGAAUUAUGGAAAUGUAGAGGUUUAUUAUUUCAGUUUUCAAAUAGGGAGAAACUGUAUUGACCAGAUUCAUCAAGAAAUGACAUAUCUUAAAAGCUUCUUUUUUGGGUAAGUUUCUAAUAGCAACUUGUUUACAUGUCAUUUACCUCUUCCUCAUAAAAGCAAAAUAAAGAAUAUGUAAAAAUUCCUGUUUCAGCUUUUGAUGGUGUUCCAGAUGAAUGUGUUUAACUAUAAUUUUAAUAUCUCAAAACACUGUCAGUCAUAAAUUUUUUUCAGUAUGUGUCAAUAAUAAAAAUAAGGAUGAUAAUAACAGGGAAGCAUCACAAUGAAGGAAAAAAGUACUUUCUUCUACCCUGUGGAUGCAUGAAGUGAGGAAUCUAUAGGCAGACCCAGCACUGCUCAUAACUAGCCCUAUAGCCAUGGCCUUGGGCAAGUCAAUUAUUCUUUUUGGAACAUGAUUUUUUCAUAGAUAAUGAAAAGGUAGGAGGGUGGUGGGAAAAGGGAAAGGAGCAGAAAAGAUAACUAUUGGGUACUGAGCUUAAUACCUGGGUGAUGAAAUAAUAUGUACAACAAACCCCCAUGACACGUGUUUACCUAUGUAACAAAUUUUCACAUGUACCCCUAAACGUAAAAUAAAAGUUUAAGAAAAGACAAGAGAAGAUGGUGAUUUCUGAGAUCCUUUAAGCUGUAAAAUGUCUAUGAUUUUAUGCCUUCACUCACAUCUUUAGGGGGUUUUGAAAUUCUGUUCUCUCAUCUUCUUGAAUAAAUUUCAAGCUAACGAAAAUGAUUUUUCUUAAGUAACAAAAUAUUGAGUGAGAUUUUUUCCCAAUGUCCCAGAAUGUUGGUUAAAGCCCCAAGCUGAGAACAAUGGGUAAGAAGUAUAUCUGUCAGAGG
rnacentral:lncRNA from 1 species